CCAAGCUUCCUUAACCUCUGGAUUGCUCGAAAUCGAUCAGCAAAGCGCAGCAAGCCUGGCAAUUAGGAGCUCAUUACCAUAUAUGCAAAUAUGGCAACCUCUCUCUCCGCAGCCACGGAGGCGCGGGGAGAGAGAACCGCAGCAGCGUUUAGGGGUGGGAACUGGGCACGGCCCGGCCUGAGCGCAGGGGAUCCUCCUCCCGCCGAGGACCCUUCCCAAAAACGGCGCCGUGCCCCGGGAAUAACCCGGUAAUUCGGGGACACGCGGAGGGCCGGCCAGCCCCGGCCCGAGGGAGUGUUCUAAAGAAAGCCUCACCACAGACCCGAGAGCCUCUGGCAUCACUUCCCCAUCCUCCAGCGGGGACGGCGGCUUCUCCCACCAGAUUAUGCUAAAA